UGGUCGUGCACGCCCGAGUGCUCUCACAUACAAAUAUCCAUCUCACCCCUUUGUGCAUCACCGCGUGGGUCCCCCUUCUUCGGAGGGGGGUGCUCACGUUUUUAACAUUGAACACCCAUUCGAACGUAUCGUAGAAUGUUCUUUGCGCGAUGACGCGCGAUCAAUACAACUUUCAACAACGGAUCUCUUGGCUCUCGCAUCGAUGAAGAACGCAGCGAAAUGCGAUACGUAAUGUGAAUUGCAGAAUUCAGUGAAUCAUCGAAUCUUUGAACGCACCUUGCGCCCCUUGGUAUUCCGAGGGGCACACCCGUUUGAGUGUCGUGAACAUCCUCAACCUGCUUGCUUUUACCGAACCAAGUAGGCUUGGAAUUUGGAGGUUUUCUGCUGGCCUCCUCUGAAGCCAGCUCCUCUUAAAUCUAUCAGUGGGAUCCGCUUUGCUAGAUCCUCGACGUUGAUAAGAUGUUUCUACGUCUUGGGUUUCGCUCGGGAAGGACCUGCUUCCAACCGUCCCAUCAGGGACAUCGUUCGAGCCGAUCGCC
rnacentral:rRNA from 1 species